UACGUAGGUGACCAGCGUUGUCCGGAAUUACUGGGCGUAAAGAGCUCGUAGGUGGUUUGUCGCGUUGUUCGUGAAAACUCACAGCUCAACUGUGGGCGUGCGGGCGAUACGGGCAGACUGGAGUACUGCAGGGGAGACUGGAAUUCCUGGUGUAGCGGUGGAAUGCGCAGAUAUCAGGAGGAACACCGGUGGCGAAGGCGGGUCUCUGGGCCGACAUUGACGCUGAGGAGCGAAAGCGUGGGGAGCGAACAGG
rnacentral:rRNA from 1 species